rnacentral:rRNA from 1 species
CCUUCCGGGAUGAGUAAAGUGGCGCACGGGUGAGUAACACGUGGAUAAUCUACCUCUAAGUGAGGGAUAACUCCGCGAAAGCGGGGCUAAUACCUCAUAAUAUUAUUUUCUCCUUGGAGAGGGUAGUCAAAGGUGGCCUCUGUUUCAAGCUACCGCUAAGAGAGGAGUCCGCGGCCCAUUAGCUUGUUGGUAAGGUAAUGGCUUACCAAGACGACGAUGGGUAGCUGGUCCGAGAGGAUGUCCUGGAGAGGUCCAGACUCCUACGGGAGGCAGCAGUGAGGAAUCUUGCGCAAUGGGGGAAACCCUACGAGCACGCGUGUAGUAUGAGGCUUUCGGGUCGUAAAGCUCUGUUAGGUGGGAGAAAGUUCUCGACAAUAUCGAGAAUCUUGACGGUACCACCAGAGGAAGCACCGGCCAACUCCGUGCCAGCAGCCGCGGUAAUACGGAGGGUGCAAGCGUUGUUCGGAAUUACUGGGCGUAAAGAGCGUGUAGGCGGCUAAUAAAGUCAGAUGUGAAAGCCCUGGGCUCAACCCAGGAAGUGCAUUUGAAACUAAUUAGCUAGAGUACGGGAGAGGAGGUGGAAUUCCUGGUGUAGAGGUGAAAUUCAUAGAUAUCGGAAGAAACCGGUGCGAAGCGGCCUCUGCCGAUCUGACGCUGAGACGCGAAAGCGUGGGGAGCAAACAGGAUUAGAUACCCUGGUAGUCCACGCCGUAAACGUUGGGCACUAGGUGUGGGAGGUAUUUAUUCCUUCUGUGCCGAAGCUAACGCAUUAAGUGCCCCGCCUGGGGAGUACGGUCGCAAGGCUAAAACUCAAAGGAAUUGACGGGGGCCCGCACAAGCGGUGGAGCAUGUGGUUUAAUUCGACGCAACGCGAACAACCUUACCUGGGCUUGACAUGUUGGUAGUAGUGAACCGAAAGGGGAACGAUCCCGAGCAAACUGGAAACCAACACAGGUGCUGCAUGGCUGUCGUCAGCUCGUGUC